CCUACGGGAGGCAGCAGUGAGGAAUAUUGGUCAAUGGACGAGAGUCUGAACCAGCCAAGUAGCGUGAAGGAUGACUGCCCUAUGGGUUGUAAACUUCUUUUAUAAAGGAAUAAAACGAGGCACGUGUGCCUUUUUGCAUGUACUUUAUGAAUAAGGAUCGGCUAACUCCGUGCCAGCAGCCGCGGUAAUACGGAGGAUCCGAGCGUUAUCAGGAUUUAUUGGGUUUAAAGGGAGCGUAGAUGGGUUGUUAAGUCAGUUGUGAAAGUUUGCGGCUCAACCGUAAAAUUGCAAUUGAUACUGGCAGUCGUGAGUACAGUUGAGGUAGGCGGAAUUCGUGGUGUAGCGGUGAAAUGCUUAGAUAUCACGAAGAACCCCGAUUGCGAAGGCAGCUUACUAAACUGUGACUGACAUUGAUGCUCGAAAGUGUGGGUAUCAAACAGGAUUAGAUACCCCUGUAGUC
rnacentral:rRNA from 1 species